AACGAACGCUGGCGGCAGGCUUAACACAUGCAAGUCGAACGCAUGCCUUCGGGCAUGAGUGGCAGACGGGUGAGUAACGCGUGGGAACCUACCCCUUGGUACGGGAUAGCUCCGGGAAACUGGAGAUAAUACCGUAUGUGUCCUGAGGGACAAAGAUUCAUCGCCAAGGGAUGGGCCCGCGUCGGAUUAGCUAGUUGGUGGGGUAACGGCCUACCAAGGCGACGAUCCGUAGCUGGUCUAAGAGGAUGAUCAGCCACAUUGGGACUGAGACACGGCCCAAACUCCUACGGGAGGCAGCAGUGGGGAAUAUUGGACAAUGGGCGCAAGCCUGAUACAGCCAUGCCGCGUGAGUGAUGAAGGCCCUAGGGUUGUAAAGCUCUUUCACCGGUGACGAUAAUGACGGUAACCGGAGAAGAAGCCCCGGCUAACUUCGUG
rnacentral:rRNA from 1 species